AGACUUUGAUCCUGGCUCAAGACGAACGUUGGCGGCGUGCCUUACACAUGCAAGUCGAACGGGAACGGGAAUCCANCUUGCUGGUGAACCUANUAAAGUGGCGAACGGGAGCGUAACACGUGAGGAACCUGCCUCGGAGAGGGGAAUAACCGCGAGAAAUCGCGGCUAAUUCCGCAUAACACAGCGACUCCGCAUGGAGAUGUUGUUAAAGGUGGCCUCUGCUUGCAAGCCAUCGCUUCNAGAUGGUCUCGCGGCCUAUCAGCUAGUUGGUGGGGUAAUGGCCCACCAAGGCGACGACGGGUAGCCGGCCUGAGAGGGUGUCCGGCCUCAUUGGGACUGAGACACGGCCCAGACUCCUACGGGAGGCAGCAGUGAGGAAUCUUGCGCAAUGGGCGAAANCCUNACGCANCGACGCCNCGUGAGGGAUGAAGGCCUUCGGGUUGUAAACCUCUGUCAUGAGGGAAGAACAAGGGUCCCGCUAAUAUCCGUAUCCCCUGACGGUACCUCCANGAGGAAGCACCGGCUAACUCCGUGCCAACAAGCCCGCNGU
rnacentral:rRNA from 1 species